UACGUAGGGUGCAAGCGUUAAUCGGAAUUACUGGGCGUAAAGCGUGCGCAGGCGGUGAUGUAAGACAGUUGUGAAAUCCCCGGGCUCAACCUGGAACUGCAUCUGUGACUGCAUCGCUGGAGUGCGGCAGAGGGGGAUGGAAUUCCGCGUGUAGCAGUGAAAUGCGUAGAUAUGCGGAGGAACACCGAUGGCGAAGGCAAUCCCCUGGGCCUGCACUGACGCUCAUGCACGAAAGCGUGGGGAGCAAACAGG
rnacentral:rRNA from 1 species